GACGAACCGUGCAAACGUUGUUCGGAAUCACUGGGCUUAAAGGGCGCGUAGGCGGACUACCAAGUCAGGGGUGAAAUCCUGCGGCUCAACCGUAGAAGUGCCUUUGAUACUGGUGGUCUCGAGGGAGGUGAGGGCGUGCGGAACUUCCGGUGGAGCGGUGAAAUGCGUAGAUAUCGGAAGGAACACCGGUGGCGAAGGCGACUACCUGGCCUGUUCUUGACGCUGAGGCGCGAAAGCUAGGGGAGCAACGGG
rnacentral:rRNA from 1 species